GAGUUUGAUCUUGGCUCAGAUUGAACGCUGGCGGCAUGCCUUACACAUGCAAGUCGAACGGUAACAGGUCUUCGGAUGCUGACGAGUGGCGAACGGGUGAGUAAUACAUCGGAACGUGCCCGAUCGUGGGGGGAUAACGGAGCGAAAGCUUUGCUAAUACCGCAUACGAUCUACGGAUGAAAGCAGGGACCGACAAGGCCUUGCGCGGACGGAGCGGCCGAUGGCAGAUUAGGUAGUUGGUGGGAUAAAAGCUUACCAAGCCGACGAUCUGUAGCUGGUCUGAGAGGACGACCAGCCACACUGGGACUGAGACACGGCCCAGACUCCUACGGGAGGCAGCAGUGGGGAAUUUUGGACAAUGGGCGAAAGGCCUGAUCCAGCCAUGCCGCGUGCAGGAUGAAGGCCUU
rnacentral:rRNA from 1 species